UGGGGAAUUUUGGACAAUGGGCGAAAGCCUGAUCCAGCAAUGCCGCGUGUGUGAAGAAGGCCUUCGGGUUGUAAAGCACUUUUGUCCGGAAAGAAAUCCUUGGCUCUAAUACAGUCGGGGGAUGACGGUACCGGAAGAAUAAGCACCGGCUAACUACGUGCCAGCAGCCGCGGUAAUACGUAGGGUGCAAGCGUUAAUCGGAAUUACUGGGCGUAAAGCGUGCGCAGGCGGUUUGCUAAGACCGAUGUGAAAUCCCCGGGCUCAACCUGGGAACUGCAUUGGUGACUGGCAGGCUAGAGUAUGGCAGAGGGGGGUAGAAUUCCACGUGUAGCAGUGAAAUGCGUAGAGAUGUGGAGGAAUACCGAUGGCGAAGGCAGCCCCCUGGGCCAAUACUGACGCUCAUGCACGAAAGCGUGGGGAGCAAACAGGAUUAGAUACCCUGGUAGUCCACGCCCUAAACGAUGUCAACUAGUUGUGGGGAUUCAUUUCCUUAGUAACGUAGCUAACGCGUGAAGUUGACCGCCUGGGGAGUACGGUCGC
rnacentral:rRNA from 1 species